rnacentral:lncRNA from 1 species
UAAAGCUUUAAAUAGUUGAGUUAUGAUUGAAAUGGUUCAUGCAGUUUCCAGUUUUCAAAUGUAUCAUGCUAGCAGAAUAUUAGGCCCUUUAAAAAAAGGAACUACUAAUUCACUAAGUACAUAGUGACUCAUAGUUUUAUAUGAUUUAUUACAUUCUGUCAGUAAAUUUUUGGUGGAUUUGAUUUCAUUGCUUUUAAUAUUGUAUGAGGAUAGAUCCUAAUUUCCCCGAUAUGUCCCUUUUACAUGUAUACUACAUAUUGACCCUAUGUGGGCUUAGAAUUUCUAAAUAGUGUAAUGUACAAUUCUGUUUAAGAAUACACUUAUCACUGGAAAAUUACCUUUAUUUUUUUUCUUUUUUUUCUUUUCCAUUUUUUAUUAGGUAUUUAGCUCAUUUACAUUUUCAAUGCUAUACCAAAAGUCCCCCCUAGCCACCCACCCCCACUCUCCUACCCACCCACUCCCCCUUUUUGGCCCUGGCGUUCCCCUGUACUGGGGCAUAUAAAGUUUGCGUGUCCAAUGAAAAUUACCUUUAUUUUUAAAUUCACAUAUAUAUUCAAAUACCUACAUAGUUCCUCUUUGAAGGGGAGUUCCAUUUAAAGAGUAGAUAACCUAUGUUAAAUCAUUUCACCUCUGCCCGUUAGUAGAAAUUACAAGGGACUGUUGUAUUUAUCAUCUAUGCUACUUUUUGCCUUAGAGGUCCUUGGAAAUCAGUGUUAAGGGCCAGUUACUUCCAUGUUUCCACCUAGUAAAGGCGAGUCAAUAAGCUAUGCCAACUUGAUUCAUCUUUUCUGCCCAAUAGGUGCUUAGGAAAUUUGUUAAAAAUGUAAAUUUGUACCUGGGCAACAGAAUUUGUACACUUUAUGACAAAAUUAAUCAGCUACACCUGUGUACUUGUACUAUGGAAGGUUGCUUUAGCUCUAUAGAGAAUAAGAAAUUGGAAUGGGAUUUUUUUUUUUUUAGGAUGACUGGCUACAAGAAGAAAUUGUAGUGACAGAAGCCAUGUGCAAUGAAUUUGAAUUAGUGUUCUUUAGGGAGCUCCGAGAGAAAUACAAUUUACAAGAUAAUCAAGAAUGUAAAUAGAUUCUCUGCGGAGUUAUUGUCUGAUCCCUGACAUAUAUUCAUCUAUACUGAAAUUACUCUAUGACUUCAUUCUAACAAUUAAAGAAUCAGUAGGGGUGAGAUUUACAGCUUCAAGAAGCUGUUAUGUAUCAGUUAGGAAUGUAAAUUUGUAAGCAACUGUUAAGAUGAGUAAAUUGUGUACUUGUUCUGAAACUUUAAAACAAUUCACCUCAAGAGCCAGCACAUGUCUAUAAUCCCCACCCUUGGAGGUGGAGGGAGAAGGCUCAGCAGUUCCAGGCAAACUGGUGCUCUACAACAAACCAUUGUCUCAAGCAAUAGAAAACCUCUUAUCUUGAAAUGGCAGUUAUACAGUAGUGUCUUAUCAAUCAUUUAUGGGGAUAACCUCCUGUCCAUGUCUUAUAAAUACUGGAUUUAAAAAAAAUCUAGAGACUGGAAAGAUGGCUCAGUGGUUAAGAGGUCGUGAGUUCAAUUCUCAGCACCAGUAGCAGAUGACUUACACCUACUUCUCACUCCAGCUCCAAGGGAUCCAAUGUUGUUUUCUGACUUCUACAGUAACCUGCACUCAUGUAUACAUGUAGCCCCUCCUCCAUAAUUAAAGACAAAAUAAUUCUAACAUUAUAAUAUAUUUUCAAAGUAUAUGAAUAAUUUUAACUAUGUGAGCUAGGAAGCUUUGUUGCCCAAUCUCUAACAAAAAUAUAACCUAACAGUUCUGUGACCAUGACUGUAUUUAUUCUAAAGCAUUUGGCAUUAUGGCACAUGCUUAAUGCAGAAAGAUCAUAAGUUCUAGGCCAGCCUGGAUGACACAUUAAAGUUUCAAUGAGCCUAGACUGCAUUACAAAGCUGUAUUUUAAAAACAAAACAAAGCAAAGCAAAACCUAAAGCCAAAACAUCAUUUAAUUAAACUCAUCUCCAUGGGGCUGGAGAGAUGGCUUCUGGGUUAUGGACACUGUCUGUUCUUCUUGAGGAUCUGAGUUCAAUUCUCAACACUCACAUGGUGGCUUACAACCAUUGGUAACUCCAGUUCCAGGAGAUCAAGUGCCCUGUUCUGGCCUCCAUGUGUAUGUAGUAGGCUUGCCCACAUUGCACAGAUACAUAAGCAGGCAAAUACUCAUACAUAUAUAUUAAAAAAUAUUUAUUUUUUUAGUCAUCUCAAAUUUAGCCUCAUAUAUCAAUUUGGCAUCUUGAUAAUUCUCCUGAGCAUUUAUAAAUUGCUUAAGAAAUAAUUUAGACUUGAACAACUUUGCAUUUUAUUUCAUUAUUUGCCAAGAAACCACCUUUGCUUGAGAGGCUAGCCUGGGUUAUAUAGUGAAUUCUAAACCACACAUGACUAUAAAAUGAGACCUUAUAAAAAGACGUUUCUGGAGCCAUGUAUCAUAUCAGAACUUAAGAUGUGUCACGUCAAAUCCUCAUGAUGGUCAACAGUCAGUCAAGUUGCUUAACUAAAGCUAAGAGCUAUAUGUUUAUCAUAUUUUUAUUUAGAGAAUGGAUGCCUGAUUGAGUCAUUGGAGUAGUGCUUCGGGGGAGGAAUUAAUACUGAGAGAACCUUAACUAUCUGAAUAAUCUGUAUGUCCUAGUGUCCUCUGGUUAAGAUGAGAUUAGCUCUUACAUUAAGGCAUCUUCCUUUGCUUUUGCAUUUAUCUAGUGGAAGCUAAUAUAUGAAAUGAAAAAUGAGAAGGACAUAGCUGAACUUUAAAAUUAGAUGAAUAUCUUUGUAGACCAGAAAUGGCAAGAAAAGCUAAACAGAUGGUAGUGAGCAAUAAAUGAGAUAAAUUUGUGGUCUUCCAGCUCCUGAUAUCAUAAAAGUGGUUUAAAAUUAUCUUUAGAAAUACUCAGAGCCAAGAUCACUGUUUGAAAUCAGGACCCCACAAAAAUACGAAUACAUACACAUCCACACUUAGAGCAUGGACAUUUUGACUUCUUUAUCAAGCAACAACUUAAAUGCAAACGUCAGCCUAAUUUAUAGACCAUGGGAGGGUGGUAGGUGGGUCAGCUCCACAGCCUUGAAAGCAGCAUUUGAAACAAUCUGGCAAUUGCCUGGUGGUGAGAUGUAUGGUGGUUCUGCAUCAUUCAGUGGAGAUGCCAAUAGAAGAUAUGGUUGUAGGCUAUCACUUCCAAAAUGGUGAAUGGGAGUGGUCUCAAAGCCACUUGACACAGAGAGAAAGCGAGGCGUUUAGAAGAAGAAAAUAUAAAGGAAAACCCAGGCACAUGUUUUUCAAGCAUGCCUUCACCCAGAGUCC